rnacentral:lncRNA from 1 species
UGGUAUUCAGACGGUGGCUGUGGGGAAGCAGUAGCUUGAAAUAGACGAGUCUCUGGUUAACAUGCUGAGGAACUAAUCCAGAAUGGAUGUGAGAACACAUUCAGAGCCUCCUCUCCUAUACUGGCUGGCAGACUCAACAGGCUACAGUAGACUUAGGUCUUUAAUUCCUCUAGAGAGGAUGUAACUUCUGGAGGAACUGGAUUUUGACAUCCCCACCCCACUGCUCACCCCUUUCCUCCAGGCAAGGAAGACAGCAGCAAGCACCACACAGGUCAUGCGUGAAGGGUCAUCCGAUACGAGAAAGAGAAAUGCAUGAAGUUGCAGCAUCUUGGGGAACUGUGCACCAAUGGCCAUGGGCUCAGCAGGGGAUAAUGUCUGAGCAGGUACAGUGCAACUUCAAGGACACUGGUGGAAACAGGAAAAAGUGUAAGACAAGAAAGGAGUUUCUUCGUCCAAAAGAUUCUGCAGCUAUCCAUCUGUAGAAAUGACAUAGAAUUAUAUUUCAGACAUCAUCAGCAACUCUUCAUUUCUUGAAAAAUACAUGAAUUCCUAUUGCCCACAGUUCCCAAGUAGAACUACUUGAACAGAAAAAUGAGAACUGGGAAGUUAAAUUGGCUUCUUGGUUUUCAUUGUGAAAUACAGCAAAAUGCAGAAGGGAAGGCAGAGAUCACUGUUAGCAGAAAAGUGAAAAUAUCAGUACUUAAGUUGUUUUAUGCAGACACAUAAAAUUGUCCCCUUUUGAACAAAUGACUCAGAAGUCCUCCUUCAAUCUGUCUGGUGUAGUGACCUCUCUCCCUUCCUAUGUCACUUUGGUCUUGUUGGCUUUGAGUAU